rnacentral:rRNA from 1 species
UACGUAGGGGGCAAGCGUUGUCCGGAAUCAUUGGGCGUAAAGAGCGUGUAGGCGGCUCGGUAAGUCCGCUGUAAAAGUCCAGGGCUCAACCCUGGAAAGCCGGUGGAAACUGUCGAGCUAGAGUCCGGAAGAGGCGAGUGGAAUUCCUGGUGUAGCGGUGAAAUGCGCAGAUAUCGGGAAGAACACCCGUGGCGAAGGCGGCUCUCUGGGACGGUACUGACGCUGAGACGCGAAAGCGUGGGGAGCGAACAGG